rnacentral:rRNA from 1 species
AGUGAACGCUGGCGGUAGGCCUAACACAUGCAAGUCGAACGGCAGCACAGUAAGAGCUUGCUCUUACGGGUGGCGAGUGGCGGACGGGUGAGGAAUACAUCGGAAUCUACUUUUUCGUGGGGGAUAACGUAGGGAAACUUACGCUAAUACCGCAUACGACCUACGGGUGAAAGCAGGGGAUCUUCGGACCUUGCGCGAUUGAAUGAGCCGAUGUCGGAUUAGCUAGUUGGCGGGGUAAAGGCCCACCAAGGCGACGAUCCGUAGCUGGUCUGAGAGGAGGAUCGGCCACACGGGAACUGAGACACAGUCCAGACUCCUACGGGAGGCAGCAGUGGGGAAUGUUGGACAAUGGGGGCAAGCCUGAUCCAGCCAUACCGCGUGGGUGAAGAAGGCCUUCGGGUUGGAAAGCCCUUUUGUUGGGAGAGAAAAGCAGCAGGUUAAUACCCCGCUGUUCUGACGGUACCCAAAGAAUAAGCACCGGCUAACUUCGUG